rnacentral:rRNA from 1 species
AGAGUUUGAUCCUGGCUCAGGACGAACGCUGGCGGCGUGCCUAACACAUGCAAGUCGAACGAAGCUCUGCGAUACAAGACUUCGGUCAAGUUGAACGGAUGACUUAGUGGCGGACGGGUGAGUAACGCGUGAGGAACCUGCCUUUCAGUGGGGGACAACAGUUGGAAACGACUGCUAAUACCGCAUAAUGUAUUCUGACCGCAUGAUCGGAAUACCAAAGAUUUAUUGCUGAAAGAUGGCCUCGCGUCUGAUUAGAUAGUUGGUGAGGUAACGGCCCACCAAGUCGACGAUCAGUAGCCGGACUGAGAGGUUGAACGGCCACAUUGGGACUGAGAUACGGCCCAGACUCCUACGGGAGGCAGCAGUGGGGAAUAUUGGGCAAUGGGCGCAAGCCUGACCCAGCAACGCCGCGUGAAGGAAGAAGGCUUUCGGGUUGUAAACUUCUUUUAAGAGGGACGAAGAAGAGACGGUACCUCUUGAAUAAGCCACGGCUAACUACGUGCCAGCAGCCGCGGUAAUACGUAGGUGGCAAGCGUUGUCCGGAUUUACUGGGUGUAAAGGGCGUGUAGGCGGAGAAGCAAGUCAGAAGUGAAAUCCAUGGGCUUAACCCAUGAACUGCUUUUGAAACUGUUUCCCUUGAGUAUCGGAGAGGCAGGCGGAAUUCCUAGUGUAGCGGUGAAAUGCGUAGAUAUUAGGAGGAACACCAGUGGCGAAGGCGGCCUGCUGGACGACAACUGACGCUGAGGCGCGAAAGCGUGGGGAGCAAACAGGAUUAGAUACCCUGGUAGUCCACGCUGUAAACGAUGAAUACUAGGUGUGCGGGGACUGACCCCCUGCGUGCCGCAGUUAACACAAUAAGUAUCCCACCUGGGGAGUACGAUCGCAAGGUUGAAACUCAAAGGAAUUGACGGGGGCCCGCACAAGCGGUGGAUUAUGUGGUUUAAUUCGAAGCAACGCGAAGAACCUUACCAGGGCUUGACAUCCUACUAACGAGAUAGAGAUAUGUUAGGUGCCCUUCGGGGAAAGUAGAGACAGGUGGUGCAUGGUUGUCGUCAGCUCGUGUCGUGAGAUGUUGGGUU